AGCGUUGUCCGAAAUUACUGGGCGUAAAGCGCGCGUAGGCGGUUUGUUAAGUCAGAUGUGAAAACCCCGGGCUUAACCCKGGAGGGACAGGUAAAACUGCCAAACUUGAGUAUKGGAGGGGAUAGUGGAAUUCCCGGUGUAGAGGUGAAAUKCGUAGAUAUCGGGAGGAAUAACCACGUGGCGAAGGCCGGCUACCUGGCCAGAUAACUGACGCUGAGGUGCGAAAGCGUGGGGAGCAAACRGGAUUAGAUACCCUGGUAGUCCACGCCCGUAAACGAUGGAAACUAGGUGUUGGGA
rnacentral:rRNA from 1 species